GACUCCUGGGCUGCUAUUUAAGCUGAGGGCUCAGAAGGCGUCUUGGCUGGAUCAUUGAGUCAUACUUCAUGGCGUGGAGUGGAGUGGGUGAGAGUGCUGAAGACAAAUGAGAGAGGAGCGAACGAGCGGAGCAUUUGGUCUGGUCUGCGCCUGAGUCGGUCUCUGCCUGCGGGACAUUUCCCAGGACAGGAAACAGGAUCCCUGUAUAUCUGACGCUGGUGUUUCACUGUGAAUAAAUGCACUAAGCUGCCACUGAGUCCAUCUCGCCCAGUGUUCCUGACAGUGAGCUUUAACAUCACUCUAAUGUGUUAUUAAUAUAGUAACAUUUGUGUUACAGUAAAAUAAA